AUUGAACGCUGGCGGCAGGCCUAACACAUGCAAGUCGAGCGAGCGGCGGACGGGUGAGUAAUGUCUGGGAAACUGCCUGAUGGGGGGGGAUAAACACUGGAAACGGUAGCCAAUACCGCUUAUCAUUAGCUGUGCCCAGAAGGGAUUAGCUAGUGGGUGGGGUAACGGCUCACCUAGGCGACGAUCCCUAGCUGGUCUGAGAGGAGUACCAGCCACACUGGAACUGAUACAGGGUCCAGACUCCUGCGGGAGGCAGCAGAGGGGAAUAUUGCACAAUGGGCGCAAGCCUGAUGCAGCCAUGCCGCGUAUGUGAAGAAGGCCUUCGGGUGGUAAAGCACUUUCAGCGGGGAGGCGUUACCCGCAAAGGAAGCACCGGCUAACUCAGUGCCAGCAGCCGCGGUAAUUC
rnacentral:rRNA from 1 species